GGACCUGACUGCUAUCGGAUUGAUACUAAGCUAUGCGAGUCUUUGUAGUAAUACAAGGCAGACGGCUCAGUAACGCGUAGUCAAUCUACCCUAUGGACGAGGAUAACCUCGGGAAACUGAGAAUAAUACUCGAUAGAACAUUAUGCCUGGAAUGGUUUAUGUUCCAAAUGAUUUAUCGCCGUAGGAUGGGACUGCGGCCUAUCAGUUUGUUGGUGAGGUAAUGGCCCACCAAGACUAUUACAGGUACGGGCUCUGAGAGGAGUGGCCCGGAGAUGGGUACUGAGACACGGACCCAGGCCCUAUGGGGCGCAGCAGGCGAGAAAACUUUGCAAUGUGCGAAAGCACGACAAGGUUAAUCCGAGUGGUUUCUGCUAAAGAGACCUUUUGUCGGUCCUAGAAACACCGAUGAAUAAGGGGUGGGCAAGUUCUGGUGU
rnacentral:rRNA from 1 species